GAUGAACGCUGGCGGCGUGCUUAACACAUGCAAGUCGAACGGGAAACCUUUUAUUGAAGCUUCGGCAGAUUUAGUUGGUUUCUAGUGGCGGACGGGUGAGUAACGCGUGGGUAACCUGCCUUAUACAGGGGGAUAACAACCAGAAAUGGUUGCUAAUACCGCAUAAGCGCACAGGACCGCAUGGUCCGGUGUGAAAAACUCCGGUGGUAUAAGAUGGACCCGCGUUGGAUUAGCUAGUUGGCAGGGUAACGGCCUACCAAGGCGACGAUCCAUAGCCGGCCUGAGAGGGUGAACGGCCACAUUGGGACUGAGACACGGCCCAGACUCCUACGGGAGGCAGCAGUGGGGAAUAUUGCACAAUGGGGGAAACCCUGAUGCAGCGACGCCGCGUGAAGGAAGAAGUAUCUCGGUAUGUAAACUUCUAUCAGCAGGGAAGAUAGUGACGGUAC
rnacentral:rRNA from 1 species